GGAGGGAUGGCAGAGCGGUUGAAUGCACCGGUCUUGAAAACCGGCGAGCCUUAACGGGCUCCCAGGGUUCGAAUCCCUGUCCCUCCG
rnacentral:tRNA from 1 species